GACGAACGCUGGCGGCGUGCUUAACACAUGCAAGUCGAACGAAGAGCGAUGGAAGCUUGCUUCUAUCAAUCUUAGUGGCGAACGGGUGAGUAACGCGUAAUCAACCUGCCCUUCAGAGGGGGACAACAGUUGGAAACGACUGCUAAUACCGCAUACGAUCUAAUCUCGGCAUCGAGGGUAGAUGAAAGGUGGCCUCUACAUGUAAGCUAUCACUGAAGGAGGGGAUUGCGUCUGAUUAGCUAGUUGGAGGGGUAACGGCCCACCAAGGCGAUGAUCAGUAGCCGGUCUGAGAGGAUGAACGGCCACAUUGGGACUGAGACACGGCCCAGACUCCUACGGGAGGCAGCAGUGGGGAAUCUUCCGCAAUAGACGAAAGUCUGACGGAGCAACGCCGCGUGAGUGAUGACGGCCUUCGGGUUGUAAAGCUCUGUUAAUCGGGACGAAAGGCCUUCUUGCGAAUAGUGAGAAGGAUUGACGGUACCGGAAUAGAAAGCCACGGCUAACUACGUG
rnacentral:rRNA from 1 species